GACGAACGCUGGCGGCGUGCUUAACACAUGCAAGUCGAACGGAAAGGCCCUGCUUUUGUGGGGUGCUCGAGUGGCGAACGUGUGAGUAACACGUGAGUAACCUGCCCUUGACUUUGGGAUAACUUCAGGAAACUGGUGCUAAUACCGGAUAGGAGCUCCUGCUGCAUGGUGGGGGUUGGAAUGUUUCGGCGGUUGGGGAUGGACUCGCGGCUUAUCAGCUUGUUGGUGGGGUAGUGGCUUACCAAGGCUUUGACGGGUAGCCGGCCUGUGAGGGUGACCGGCCACAUUGGGACUGAGAUACGGCCCAGACUCCUACGGGAGGCAGCAGUGGGGAAUAUUGCACAAUGGGCGGAAGCCUGAUGCAGCAACGCCGCGUGCGGGAUGACGGCCUUCGGGUUGUAAACCGCUUUCGCCUGUGACGAAGCGUGAGUGACGGUAAUGGGUAAAGAAGCACCGGCUAACUACGUG
rnacentral:rRNA from 1 species